GACGAACGCUGGCGGCGUGCUUAACACAUGCAAGUCGAACGGAAAGGCCCUGCUUUUGUGGGGUGCUCGAGUGGCGAACGGGUGAGUAACACGUGAGUAACCUGCCCUUGACUUUGGGAUAACUUCAGGAAACUGGGGCUAAUACCGGAUAGGAGCUCCUGCUGCAUGGUGGGGGUUGGAAAGUUUCGGCGGUUGGGGAUGGACUCGCGGCUUAUCAGCUUGUUGGUGGGGUAGUGGCUUACCAAGGCUUUGACGGGUAGCCGGCCUGAGAGGGUGACCGGCCACAAUGGGACUGAGAUACGGCCCAGACUCCUACGGGAGGCAGCAGUGGGGAAUAUUGCACCAUGGGCGGAAGCCUGAUGCAGCAACGCCGCGUGCGGGAUGACGGCCUUCGGGUUGUAAACCGCUUUCGCCUGUGACGAAGCGUGAGUGACGGUAAUGGGUAAAGAAGCACCGGCUAACUACGUG
rnacentral:rRNA from 1 species